AGAUUGAACGCUGGCGGCAGGCCUAACACAUGCAAGUCGAGCGGUAGAGAGGUGCUUGCACCUCUUGAGAGCGGCGGACGGGUGAGUAAUGCCUAGGAAUCUGCCUAGUGGUGGGGGAUAACGUUCGGAAACGGACGCUAAUACCGCAUACGUCCUACGGGAGAAAGCGGGGGACCUUCGGGCCUCGCGCCAUUAGAUGAGCCUAGGUCGGAUUAGCUAGUUGGUGAGGUAAUGGCUCACCAAGGCGACGAUCCGUAACUGGUCUGAGAGGAUGAUCAGUCACACUGGAACUGAGACACGGUCCAGACUCCUACGGGAGGCAGCAGUGGGGAAUAUUGGACAAUGGGCGAAAGCCUGAUCCAGCCAUGCCGCGUGUGUGAAGAAGGUCUUCGGAUUGUAAAGCACUUUAAGUGGAGAAGGUUGUAACUUAAUACGUUGCAACUUUGACGUUACGACAGAAUAAGCACCGGCUAACUCGUGCCAGCAGCCG
rnacentral:rRNA from 1 species